CAGUAGCCGCGGUAAUACGUAGGGUCCGAGCGUUGUCCGGAAUUAUUGGGCGUAAAGGGCUCGUAGGCGGUUUGUUGCGUCGGGAGUGAAAACCCAGGGCUUAACUUUGGGCUUGCUUUCGAUACGGGCAGACUUGAGGCAUUGAGGGGAGAACGGAAUUCCUGGUGUAGCGGUGAAAUGCGCAGAUAUCAGGAGGAACACCGGUGGCGAAGGCGGUUCUCUGGCAAUGUUCUGACGCUGAGGAGCGAAAGUGUGGGGAGCGAACAGGAUUAGAUACCCCAGUAGUCCCUGUCUCUUAUAC
rnacentral:rRNA from 1 species